CAGGAGAUCACGUUUGAGGUUGCAGUGAGCCGUGAUUGUGCCACUGCCCUCAAACCUGGGCAACAGCGUGAAACUCCAUCUCAAACAAAACAAAACAAGGAACUUAUCAUCUUUUUUGAACUUUCUACAGAAUGCAUAAUAUAAUGAAGUUAAGAUGCCUUGUUGGGUUCUUAUUAAAAGAUAUUAUUUACAUUUUAAUCCAAGUCUUGUGUUUAUGUAUUUACUUUCAGUUCCUGGAAACUCUUUAGAAUAAAGAAUUACAAGUUUCCCCCCAAAUAUGUGGAUACUUUUAAUGGAAAUCAAUUAUUACUAGUGUUCUUUUAAUGAAGGUGAGAACAUUUUAUGAACUGAUUUUUCAGGUGAGUAAAUAGUAAUUUAAGGAGGUGAAAUAAUGUGAUGAUAAGGAGGACACCUGGGGAUGAAGCCCACAGUAUUGUUCUUACAGGUUCUAACCACCUAAGUUCCAUGCCUCAUUCAUUAUUCAUUCUGGGAUAAUGAUACUACACUUCAUAAAUAAACAUGACACUAUUGUACAUAGCAUUUGCUUUUCAUUAUUGGCCCAGUGGUAUCACUGAUCUAAUUAUAUUUUGUCAUAGAUUCCCCACCAAAACAAAAUAUAUUUCCAAGUUAGUUAGCUGAUGCUUGGGGUGCAGCUGGUGAAUCAGAACAGAAAGACCCAUCCAGCCAAAUUCACUCAUCUUUUUCAUGUCCAGAAAAGCCUGAAGGGAAAUGCCAAGGUGUCAAUGUAAGCACAUGCAAUCAUAAAUUAAAGCUUUGUUAUAUUCAAAUAAAGUAAUACAACAUUUAUUACUUGCUUGGGAAACAGCUUGGGAAGCAGCCACAUUGAAAUUUCUUGUAGCCAUGAAAAUAAUACAAGUUGCUUGUGGAUAACAAAAUUCACACAGAAACCAUUUCUGAGAUAUCUUAUAUUUGAUGUAUUUAUGCAUUCAUUUAAGUCACAUAUUACCUCUUUUUAAUGGAAUUCCAAGUACUUCAUAAAUCUCCUGUAUAGAGGAAAAUGCUUAAUUAAUUGGGGAUGAGGGCAGGAAGUGCAUUAAAUAUCACUGAGGAAAGCAGUAUCGUGAAGUAUUUGCCCCUGGGGAAAUCUCAAUUAAUUCUUAAACAUGAACAGGACAUGAUGUCUUCCAUUUUCACAUAGUAAGAGCAACCAUUCAAAACCACAGAGGCAAGAAAACUUAGAACCUGCCAGAUUUGAGCUGAGAAUUGCUCCGUUACUAAGCAGUAGUCUCCCUGUUCACCAGGUCAUUGCUGAAGGUGGGUACGUGGUUAUUGCAGCAGAGUACUCUGGAAAAUAUUUGCUAAAUUUGCCUUUGUCUCAAUCCCUCAUAGGUCUGUGACCUCAAGGUUGCAUGUCUACAUAAGCUGUUGCAAUACUGCACUAAAGUAUCUCCUUUCAACAAACAAAGGGUGAAGCUAGGAGAAGGACAGAGAGGGGCCUCCACAUUUCUUCCCAUGGUAGCUGCACCGUUUUACAUCCCCACA
rnacentral:lncRNA from 1 species